rnacentral:lncRNA from 10 species
CUUCCGCCACUCAGCCGACUAACAUGCUACCAGAGCCUGUCCACCCUUCUUCAAAUAAUGGUUUGUAAUGCGCAGACUAAAACAUGUUGGAUUACACAAGAAACCGGUUCUCUUCCCAUCGUUAUUCUUCUGAUGUAGCAUUCUACUUGAAAUUGGAAGCCGUUCAGUAUCAGAGAGAAACCAUAUCUAUGAAACUAGAGAUGCUGCUCAGAUGACUGCAAACCAGCCAUCCUUACUUGUUUUACCACUAGUAGUGUUAUAAGGACAGUGGUCCAAUUUCAUGAAUCUUGUAGGGUUUUUUCAAAUACAGCAAUGUACAAAUAUGC